rnacentral:RNase_P_RNA from 1 species
UCAGAUGGCUGGAUGAUCGCACUUUUAUGUGAGGAAAGUCCGGGCUCCAAGAGACACAGUGCCGGGUAAUGCCCGGCGAGGGCGACCUCAGGGAAAGUGCCACAGAAAAUAUACCGCCAUUUUGGUAAGGGUGAAAAGGUGUGGUAAGAGCGCACCGCAAAUAUGGUAACAUAUUUGGCAAGGUAAACCCCACUGGGAGCAAAACCAAAUAGGAAUAGUGAUAUAAACGUCUCUUUUUAUACUAUUCGGGUAGGUUGCUAGAGAUUUAUGGCGACAUAAAUCCAAGAUGAAUGAUCAUCACCACUUUGUGGAUACAGAACCCGGCUUAUAAGCCAUCUGACAAA